rnacentral:rRNA from 1 species
ACUCGAGUGGCGAACGGGUGAGUAACACGUGGGUGAUCUGCCCUGCACUUCGGGAUAAGCUUGGGAAACUGGGUCUAAUACCGGAUAGGAGCCAUCUUUAGUGUGGUGGUUGGAAAGUUUUUCGGUGUAGGAUGAGCUCGCGGCCUAUCAGCUUGUUGGUGGGGUAAUGGCCUACCAAGGCGGCGACGGGUAGCCGGCCUGAGAGGGUGUACGGCCACGUUGGGACUGAGAUACGGCCCAG